UUCAACACCACCAGCUGCCGUAGAACUGUCUCUCACUGCCCUGCAACACCACCAGAACCUUUGGAGAUUCGGCAUCGGCUCCUCUAUCUAGUCGGCACCUCCCGCUCCCUCCAGAUUCUUCAAGUACUCAACGCACUGCCCUAUUAGUGCAGCGAAGGAACACCACCAGCUGCCGUAGAACUGCCUGCCUCACUGCCCUGCAACACCACCAGCUGCCGUAGAACUGCCUGCCUCACUGCCCUGUAACACCACCAGCUGCCGUAGAACUGCCUGCCUCACUGCCCUGCAACACCACCAGAGCUUUUGGAAAUUCGGCUCCUCUAUCUAGUCGGCACCUCCUGCUCCCUCCAGAUUCUUCAAGUAAGUUAUGAAUAAAGGGAUAUUCCUUGCUUUUCAUUGGCGGCAGGGGACUGAAAGGGAAUGGCUGUCUCCAUUUGAACAUCUGCUGCCCUGAUGGAGGGGAGAGUGGAGCUGAAGGAGUGAGUAGAAGAGCUUGAGCACAAGUGCAUCCAAGGGGAGACAGGCCGUGCUGUCCACAUUCUUGCAACUCAGGCUGUCUCCUGGUCUUCGAAAGGUCCUUUUUGCCACGGCUCUUGGUACGGUCGCCCUAGCUCUGGCUGCACACCAGCUAAAACGGCACAAGCACAAGAAGAAGCAGAUUACAGCAGGCAAUGGAGGCCUAAAGCUCGGCGGGGUGCCUGGCUCUGUUUUGCCCGUUAGGCGUUCUUCCUCAGCUAAAAAAGAGUUAUGAAUAAAGGGAUAUUCCUUGCUUUUCAUUGGCGGCAGGGGACUGAAAGGGAAUGGCUGUCUCCAUUUGAACAUCUGCUGCCCUGAUGGAGGGGAGAGUGGAGCUGAAGGAGUGAGUAGAAGAGCUUGAGCACAAGUGCAUCCAAGGGGAGACAGGCCGUGCUGUCCACAUUCUUGCAACCCAGGCUGUCUCCUGGUCUUCGAAAGGUCCUUUUUGCCUCGGCUCUUGGUACGGUCGCCCUAGCCCUGGCUGCACACCAGCUAAAACGGCACAAGCACAAGAAGAAGCAGAUUACAGCAGGCAAUGGAGGCCUAAAGCUCGGCGGGGUGCCUGGCUCUGUUUUGCCCGUUAGGCGUUCUUCCUCAGCUAAAAAAGUUGAGGUGGGGCCAUGACCAGAGGUUGGACCUUCAUGGAGCGGCUCGGUCAAUUGUUGAACCUUUGAGAGGAGCUUGAAAUGAAACUUCUGACAAGCACUGCCCUAAGGUUGGAUCUGGCUGAACUGUCUAUGGGAGAUAAAGGCACAGGAUCACAGGUGCAUGAUGGGAAAGCGAUUCACAUUUGAAUCCUGAGCGAGAAGGAGCCAUGUGAGCAAGUCGUAUUGUUUGGUGUUCGGGCCGCGCAGCGCAGGAGGAGUUCCAUCACUAUACCAUUAACUGAGAGACUUCAAAACCCAAUAGGACUUUGCCUGGGAGUCCCUGCCCUUUGUACCUAUUGUGACCAGCCCAUUCUGGAACCCUGCUCCGCUGUGUAGGAGUUUUCUAGUGCAUUUUACUGCUGAGCCAUGGGAAGCCUUUUUUUCUGCUUGCUGUGACCCAAGGUUUGUAUACUAGACUCUGCCUUGCCUGCUGCCUGCCCUGACGGCCAACUUCCAAUCUGUAUCUUCCAAUAAAAUCAAAACUUGUUUCUUUCAAAUUCCUGACCUUUAUUUGGAAUGCUUAUCAUCCGAUUUUAAUUAACAUCUCAGUAUUCCAGCUACUUUUUCUGUCUCACAUGCUCUGUGAGCAAUAAUGUAUCUUUUCUGCACAAUUGUGGAGUGGUUGCUUAGUGCACAGCUUAGAGGUAACAUAUAAAUAAUUGGAUGUAGUCAGAGAAGAGGAUCCCCUGAGCUAGAAUAUGAGCAGCCAAUAGUGACAACAAGAAGUGUUAGUAGGCAUAGGUAUCCAUGCAAGUGUGGAGCAUGAAGGGUCACAUGUACGUAGGGUGUACUCAACAGAACUGUUGGGUAUAGUUGCAUGCAAAGUAAGACCUACCUGCCACCACCUAGCAGUCACUUUGUAUUUGUAGCUCAGCAAGAUCCAGAGGGAGGCAAUGGAUUUUGUGCACCCCUAAUAAAAGGCUAGAAGACUCAUGAGUAAAUGGCGCACAUAGUGCCAAGUGCUUUUUUGGAUGCAAUUUGCUAUUUUCCCCCACAAUUACAGCAUCAUUGUGCCUGUGUGCCAAGCUGCGAAUGAUGUUAUUAACGGCAAUAGCAUGGGAUUAUGAACAAGUCAGUAGUGCUGAUUGGCCAGCCCCCUAGUGGAACCCUGAAAUGCCCCAGCUUGAAAUGAUUCCAGGGUUCUCUUGCAUCAAUUCCUACACUUGUGCAUAUCAUUCAUUAGAGCAGGCUGGUUGGGCACAUUAGUGCUCCCCACAAGUACUCGCUCGUUUGCACAUUAGCGCUCCCCGCGAGUAGCAAGUACACGCAAGUGCAAGGAGCAUGUAUGGGGCGAGUACCUUUUAUGAAUGCUGUUGAUGUUUUUUCAAAUAUAGAGGGGGUUUGCCAGGUCGGCCUUUGGUAUUGCACUUGUAAUCCUGUCUCAGUUUGCACUACUGAAUCAGGUCCAUAAAUAUUUGGACAGAGACAACUUUUUUCUAAUUUUGGUUUUGUACAACUGACAUUUUUAUGCAAUCGUUUUGUUCACCCCGCUGAAUUAAAGCUAAAAGUCUG